AUUGAACGCUGGCGGCAGGCCUAACACAUGCAAGUCGAGCGAGCGGCGGACGGGUGAGUAAUGUAUGGGGUCUGCCCGAUAGAGGGGGAUAACUACUGGAAACGGUGGCUAAUACCGCAUACUAUCGGAUAACCCAUAUGGGAUUAGCUAGUAGGUGGGGUAAAGGCUCACCUAGGCGACGAUCUCUAGCUGGUCUGAGAGGAUGAUCAGCCACACUGGGACUGAGACCCGGCCCAGACUCCUACGGAGGCAGUAGUGGAGAAUAUUGCAGAAUGGGGGCAAGCCUGAGGCAGCCGUGCCGCGGGUAUGACGAAAGCAUUAGGGUUGUAAAGUACUUUCAGCGGGGAGGCGUUGCCCGCAGAGGAAGCACCGGCUAACUCCGUGCCAGCAGCCGCGGUAAUUC
rnacentral:rRNA from 1 species